rnacentral:rRNA from 1 species
CCUACGGGGGGCUGCAGUGGGGAAUAUUGGACAAUGGGCGGAAGCCUGAUCCAGCCAUGCCGCGUGUGUGAAGAAGGCCUUAUGGUUGUAAAGCACUUUAAGUGGGGAGGAGGCUCUCUUGGUUAAUACCUAAGAAGAGUGGACGUUACCCACAGAAUAAGCACCGGCUAACUCUGUGCCAGCAGCCGCGGUAAUACAGAGGGUGCGAGCGUUAAUCGGAUUUACUGGGCGUAAAGCGUGCGUAGGCGGCUGAUUAAGUCGGAUGUGAAAUCCCU